GCGCCUGUAGCUCAGCUGGAUAGAGUGUCGCCCUCCGAAGGCGAAGGUCACAGGUUCGAAUCCUGUCAGGCGCGCCA
rnacentral:tRNA from 1 species